rnacentral:rRNA from 1 species
GUCCACGCCUAACGAUGUCAACUAGGUGUUGGAGGGUAAACCUUUAGUACCGGAGCUAACGCGUGAAGUUGACCACCUGGGAGUACGGCCGCAAGGUUAAACUCAAGGAAUUGACGGGACCCGCACAAGCGGUGGAUGAUGUGGAUUAAUUCGAUGCAACGCGAAACCUUACCUACCCUUGACAUGUCAGGAACUUGCCAGAGAUGGCUUGGUGCUCGAAAGAGAACCUGAACACAGGUGCUGCAUGGCUGUCGU